GAUGAACGCUGGCGGCGUGCUUAACACAUGCAAGUCGAACGGAAAGGCCCAAGCUUGCUUGGGUACUCGAGUGGCGAACGGGUGAGUAACACGUGGGUGAUCUGCCCUGCACUUCGGGAUAAGCCUGGGAAACUGGGUCUAAUACCGGAUAGGACCACUUCUUGGAUGUUGUGGUGGAAAGUUUUUUCGGUGUGGGAUGAGCUCGCGGCCUAUCAGCUUGUUGGUGGGGUAAUGGCCUACCAAGGCGUCGACGGGUAGCCGGCCUGAGAGGGUGUACGGCCACAUUGUGACUGAGAUACGGCCCAGACUCCUACGGGAGGCAGCAGUGGGGAAUAUUGCGCAAUGGGCGCAAGCCUGAUGCAGAGACGCCGCGUGGGGGAUGACGGCCUUCGGGUUGUAAACUCCUUUCGCUAGGGACGAAGCGUUUUUGUGACGGUACCUGGAGAAGAAGCACCGGCUAACUACGUG
rnacentral:rRNA from 1 species